rnacentral:rRNA from 1 species
CCUACGGGAGGCAGCAGUGGGGAAUUUUGGACAAUGGGNGCAACCCUGAUCCAGCCAUGCCGCGUGAGUGAAGAAGGCCUUCGGGUUGUAAAGCUCUUUCGGCCGGGAAGAAAUCGCAUCAGUUAAUACCUGGUGUGGAUGACGGUACCGGAAUAAGAAGCACCGGCU